rnacentral:rRNA from 1 species
AACGUAGGUGGCAAGCGUUAUCCGGAUUUACUGGGCGUAAAGCGUGUGCAGGCGGGGGUACAAGUGGGGUAUGAAAUUUCCCAGCUUAACUGGGAAGGGUUAUGCCAGACUGUACUUCUGGAGUGCGAGAGAGGGGCGUGGAAUUCCGGGUGUAGUGGUGAAAUGCGUAGAGAUCCGGAGGAACCCCAGAGGCGAAGGCGGCGCCCUGGCUCGCAACUGACGCUGAGUGAGCGAAAGCCAGGGGAGCAAACGGG